rnacentral:rRNA from 1 species
AUUGAACGCUGGCGGCAGGCCUAACACAUGCAAGUCGAACGAGUGGCGGACGGGUGAGUAAUGUCUGGGAAACUGCCUGAUGGAGGGGGAUAACUACUGGAAACGGUAGCUAAUACCGCAUACCAUCGGAUGUGCCCAGAUGGGAUUGGCUAGUAGGUGGGGUAAAGGCUCACCUAGGCGACGCUCCCUAGCUGGUCUGAGAGGAUGACCAGCCACAUUGGAACUGGGAAACGGUACAGACGCCGACGGGAGGCAACAGUGGGGAAUAUUGCACAAUGGGCGAAAGCCUGAUGCAGCCAUGCCGCGUGUAUGAAGAAGGCCUUCGGGUUGUAAAGUACUGUCAGCAGGGAGGCGUUACCCGCAGAAGAAGCACCGGCUAACUCCGUGCCAGCAGCCGCGGUAAUUU